UAAUACGGAGGGUGCUAGCGUUAAUCGGAAUUACUGGGCGUAAAGCGCGCGUAGGCAGUUUGGCAAGUCGGAUGUGAAAGCCCCUGGGCUUAACCUGGGAAUUGCAUUCGAGACUGCUUGGCUAGAGUUUGGUAGAGGAAAGCGGAAUUCCGGGUGUAGCGGUGAAAUGCGUAGAUAUCCGGAGGAACACCAGUGGCGAAGGCGGCUUUCUGGACCAAAACUGACGCUGAGGCGCGAAAGCGUGGGGAGCAAACAGGAUUAGAUACCCUGGUAGUCCACGCCGUAAACUAUGAGAACUAGCCGUUGGAGAGGUUUAACUCUGCAGUGGCGCAGUUAACGCGUUAAGUUCUCCGCCUGGGGAGUACGGCCGCAAGGUUG
rnacentral:rRNA from 1 species